rnacentral:rRNA from 1 species
GAUGAACGCUGACAGAAUGCUUAACACAUGCAAGUCAACUUGAACUUCGGUUUGGGUGGCGGACGGGUGAGUAACGCGUAAAGAACUUGCCCCACAGAUAGGGACAACAUUUGGAAACGAAUGCUAAUACCUGAUAUUAUGAUUUUAGGGCAUCCUAGGAUUAUGACAGCUAUAUGCGCUGUGAGAGAGGUUUGCGUCCCAUUAGCUAGUUGGAGAGGUAACGGCUCACCAAGGCGAUGAUGGGUAGCCGGCCUGAGAGGGUGAACGGCCACAAGGGGACUGAGACACGGCCCUUACGCCUACGGGAGGAAGGAGUGGAGAAUAUUGGACAAAGGACCAAGAGUCUGAUCCAGCAAUUCGGUGUGCAAGAUGAAGUUUUUCGGAAUGUAAAGUGCUUUCAGUUGGGAAGAAAAAAAUGACGGUACCAACAGAAGAAGUGACGGCUAAAUACGUG